CUAGCCGUAAACGAUGGAUACUAGGUGUUAGAGGUAUCGACCCCUCUAGUGCCGAAGCUAACGCAUUAAGUAUCCCGCCUGGGGAGUACGGCCGCAAGGCUGAAACUCAAAGGAAUUGACGGGGGCCCGCACAAGCGGUGGAGCAUGUGGUUUAAUACGUCACUAACCGUAGAACCUUACCCAGGCUUGACAUCUGGGGAAUCCUGGUGAAAGCCGGGAGUGCCUCGUAAGAGGAGCCCCAAGACAGGUGU
rnacentral:rRNA from 1 species